rnacentral:rRNA from 1 species
CCUACGGGAGGCAGCAGUGGGGAAUAUUGCGCAAUGGGCGAAAGCCUGACGCAGCGACGCCGCGUGAGGGAUGAAGGUCUUCGGAUCGUAAACCUCUGUCAGCAGGGAAGAACGGUCACUGUGCUAAUCAGCAGUGAAUUGACGGUACCUGCAAAGGAAGCACCGGCUAACUCCGUGCCAGCAGCCGCGGUAAUACGGAGGGUGCGAGCGUUAAUCGGAAUUACUGGGCGUAAAGCGCUCGUAGGCGGUAUGUCAAGUCAAGGGUGAAAUCCCCGCGCUCAACGUGGGAACUGCCUUUGAAACUGGCAAACUGGAGUGAGUGAGAGGUUAGUGGAAUUCCAGGUGUAGGAGUGAAAUGCGUAGAUAUCUGGAGGAACAUCAGUGGCGAAGGCGACUAUCUGGCACAUAACUGACGCUGAGGAGCGAAAGCGUGGGUAGCAAACAGGAUUAGAUACCCUAGUAGUC